rnacentral:rRNA from 1 species
UGGGGAAUUUUGGACAAUGGGCGAAAGCCUGAUCCAGCAAUGCCGCGUGUGUGAAGAAGGCCUUCGGGUUGUAAAGCACUUUUGUCCGGAAAGAAAUCCUUGGCUCUAAUACAGUCGGGGGAUGACGGUACCGGAAGAAUAAGCACCGGCUAACUACGUGCCAGCAGCCGCGGUAAUACGUAGGGUGCAAGCGUUAAUCGGAAUUACUGGGCGUAAAGCGUGCGCAGGCGGUUUGCUAAGACCGAUGUGAAAUCCCCGGGCUCAACCUGGGAACUGCAUUGGUGACUGGCAGGCUAGAGUAUGGCAGAGGGGGGUAGAAUUCCACGUGUAGCAGUGAAAUGCGUAGAGAUGUGGAGGAAUACCGAUGGCGAAGGCAGCCCCCUGGGCCAAUACUGACGCUCAUGCACGAAAGCGUGGGGAGCAAACAGGAUUAGAUACCCUGGUAGUCCACGCCCUAAACGAUGUCAACUAGUUGUUGGGGAUUCAUUUCCUUAGUAACGUAGCUAACGCGUGAAGUUGACCGCCUGGGGAGUACGGUCGCAAGAUUAAAACUCAAAUGAA